rnacentral:lncRNA from 11 species
GCCAGCCACACAGUUUAGAAUUUAGCAAAGGGGACUGACUGGUACUACAAGCAAAAUAUCAGAAGAAUUUUGAAGAAAGGAAAGAGAUAACACUGCUGCCAUUUCUCAAAGGAUUUGUGCUAAUCUCUAAAUCUAUCAUACAGUAUUCUACAAUGGACAUGAACAAAAGAGGAAGUGAAGAAGGUCUAGAAGAUGACCAUCUUGAUUUGGAGCCCAUUGUAACAUACAGAAGAUGAAUAGACAGCUACCUAUUUGACAGAUAUGUUACCAUUACUCGACUCUCAAAGCAACCCCCUCCCUUUUAAUGGAAACUUACACAGCAAAUGAUGAUCCCUCAAAUAUUCAUGGCUUGAUCUUUAAUUGUAUUAAUUCAUGCUGCAAAUUCUAAACGGGUUUUCCAGCAGGCUAAAGACCCUGGUUCAACUAAGUAUGAAACCAUUCCAAAUUAAGUAGAUUGUCUGUGGGUUUUUGUGCCUUUUGCUGUCUUCAGCAUUUGAAAGCAGCUUCUCAUGAAAGUCAGACUGCUUAAAAUUCAAGCACUUGGCAACUAAGAAACUCCAAAAAGAGGUAAUGAACCAUAAAUUAUUGCCGUUAGAUAUUUAAUACCCAAUCAGUAUGUGC